AGCGAACGCUGGCGGCAGGCUUAACACAUGCAAGUCGAGCGGACCUUUCGGGGUCAGCGGCGGACGGGUGAGUAACGCGUGGGAACGUGCCUUCCGGUUCGGAAUAACCCUGGGAAACUAGGGCUAAUACCGGAUACGCCCUUAUGGGGAAAGGUUUACUGCCGGAAGAUCGGCCCGCGUCUGAUUAGCUAGUUGGUGGGGUAACGGCCUACCAAGGCGACGAUCAGUAGCUGGUCUGAGAGGAUGAUCAGCCACACUGGGACUGAGACACGGCCCAGACUCCUACGGGAGGAAGCAGUGGGGAAUAUUGGACAAUGGGCGAAAGCCUGAUCCAGCCAUGCCGCGUGAGUGAUGAAGGCCUUAGGGUUGUAAAGCUCUUUUAGCCGGGACGAUAAUGACGGUACCGGAGGAAUAAGCCCCGGCUAACUUCGU
rnacentral:rRNA from 1 species